rnacentral:rRNA from 1 species
GAUGAACGCUGGCGGCGUGCCUAAUACAUGCAAGUCGAGCGAACGGACGAGAAGCUUGCUUCUCUGAUGUUAGCGGCGGACGGGUGAGUAACACGUGGAUAACCUACCUAUGAGACUGGGAUAACUUCGGGAAACCGGAGCUAAUACCGGAUAAUAUUUUGAACCGCAUGGUUCAAAAGUGAAAGACGGUCUUGCUGUCACUUAUCGAUGGAUCCGCGCUGCAUUAGCUAGUUGGUAAGGUAACGGCUUACCAAGGCAACGAUGCAUAGCCGACCUGAGAGGGUGAUCGGCCACACUGGAACUGAGACACGGUCCAGACUCCUACGGGAGGCAGCAGUAGGGAAGCUUCCGCAAUGGGCGAAAGCCUGACGGAGCAACGCCGCGUGAGUGAUGAAGGUCUUCGGAUCGUAAAACUCUGUUAUUAGGGAAGAACAUAUGUGUAAGUAACUGUGCACAUCUUGACGGUACCUAAUCAGAAAGCCACGGCUAACUACGUG